rnacentral:rRNA from 1 species
UACGUAGGGACCGAGCGUUGUCCGGAAUCAUUGGGCGUAAAGAGCGUGUAGGCGGCCACUUAAGUCUUGCGUGAAAUCUUGCGGCUCAACCGCAAGCGGUCGUGGGAAACUGGGUGGCUAGAGUGCGGGAGAGGAGAGUGGAAUUCCUGGUGUAGCGGUGGAAUGCGCAGAUAUCAGGAAGAACACCCGUGGCGAAGGCGGCUCUCUGGAACGCAACUGACGCUGAGACGCGAAAGCGUGGGGAGCAAACAGG